AUGGCCAUGGCCGCCGCCUCCCCGUUCCUCCUCCUGCAACCUCUAGCGCCCAAGGCCCAUCGCCCUUUCGGACCUCUACACCCCAGCCUCCUCCGGACCCGCCUCCUCCGCUGCUCGCCCAACGGCGGCGCGGCGCCGGAACCCCCUCCUAAACCCACCCCACGCCGCGGGCGGAAGAAGGCGUCGGAGCCGGGCUCGUCGCCGCCCAAGGCGAAGGCGACGAGGCGCAAGACCAAGAAGGCGGGGCAGGACUCCGACUCAGAGGGCGAGGAGGAGCCGGCUGCGAAGCCGAAGACCCGCCGGACCAAGAAGUCCCCAAAGCAGGAAGCCAAGAAGCAGGAGGAGGAGGAGGAGGAGGCCCACGCGGAGGAGCCUCGGAGCGCGGCCCGCGAGGAGGACGCGGGAAGCGACGGCGACGACGGGGCGGAUUUGCCGUACGAGUGGCCGCCGCUGGUGUGCUGCUUCGGGGCGCCGCGGUGGGAGUUCGUGCCGACGGUGCGGGUGUCGGACCAGCAGAUGCACCCCGACCAGUACUCCACCUGGCUGCACCUGCAGUGGGAGCCGCCCGAGUUCGCGCGCUCGCCGGGGAGCGCCUCGAGCAACGUCGCCAUCGCGCUCACCCGGCUCGGCGGCCGCGCCGCGGUGCUUGGCAAGGUCGGCGACGACGACUUCGGCCACGAGCUCGUGUACCGCAUGAACCGCGAGCGGGUGCAGACCCGCGCCAUCAGGUUUGACGGCGCCGCGUCCACAGCCAUCGCCCGGAUGAAGGUGGCGUUCCAGGACAGAGAGGACGGCGAGGGCGGGACAUGUCUGGUGGCCGAGACGGUGAAGAGCUCUGCCGAGGACUCGCUCCACAAGGACGAGAUCAAUGCAGAUGUGCUGAAAGAGGCGAAAAUGUUGCAUUUCAAUUCUGAAGUACUGCUGACGCCGUCAAUGCACGACACGCUCUUCAGAACCAUUGAGCUGUCCAAGAAAUUUGGAAGCAAGAUAUUCUUUGAUCUCAAUUUGCCAUUGCCUUUGUGGAGGUCAAGGGAUGAGACAAAAGAGUUCAUAAAUAGGGCAUGGAAGGAGGCUGAUAUCAUAGAGGUGUCAAGGGAUGAGCUUGAAUUCCUCCUCGAUCACAAGUAUUACGAAUAUAAGCGAGCCACCCCGCCUCAGUAUUAUUUGGAUGGGUUCCAUCUAACAAGGAACUGGCCACAGUACUACCACUAUACCCCUGAAGAAAUUGCUCCGAUUUGGCAUGAUGGAAUAAAACUCUUGCUGGUGACCUAUGGAACACUUCGUAUCCACUACUACACACCCAAGUUUCAUGGCUGUGUGGUUGGAACGGAGGAUGCACUCAUAACUCCGACCACAACUGACCGGACAGGUUCUGGUGAUGCUAUUGUUGCUGCUGCUAUUAGGAAGUUGACAACUUGCCCUGAGAUGUAUGAGGACCAGGAUACAUUGGAGAGGGAGCUCAGAUUUGCUGUUGCUGCUGGUAUCAUUUCGCAGUGGACUAUUGGUGCCGUGCGAGGGUUCCCCACUGAAAGUGCUACCCAGAACUUGAAGGAGCAAGUAUAUGUGCCUUCUAUGUGGUGA
rnacentral:rRNA from 1 species